GAGUUUGAUCGUGGCUCAGAUUGAACGCUGGCGGCAUGCCUUACACAUGCAAGUCGAACGGCAGCACGGGAGCUUGCUCCUGGUGGCGAGUGGCGAACGGGUGAGUAAUGCAUCGGAACGUAUCCUGGAGUGGGGGAUAACGUAGCGAAAGUUACGCUAAUACCGCAUAUUCUGUGAGCAGGAAAGCGGGGGACCUUCGGGCCUCGCGCUCUUGGAGCGGCCGAUGUCGGAUUAGCUAGUUGGUGAGGUAAAGGCUCACCAAGGCGACGAUCCGUAGCAGGUCUGAGAGGAUGAUCUGCCACACUGGAACUGAGACACGGUCCAGACUCCUACGGGAGGCAGCAGUGGGAAUUUGGACAAUGGGGGCAACCCUGAUCCAGCCAUGCCGCGUGAGUGAAGAAGGCCU
rnacentral:rRNA from 3 species